GCUUACGGCCACACCACCCUGAGCACGCCCACUCUCGUCUGAUCUCGGAAGCCAAGCAGGGUCGGGCCUGGUUAGUACUUGGAUGGGAGACCGCCUGGGAAUACCAGGUGCUGUAAGCAU
rnacentral:rRNA from 1 species